CUAAUACAUGCAAGUCGAGCGGACCGACGGGAGCUUGCUCCCUUAGGUCAGCGGCGGACGGGUGAGUAACACGUGGGUAACCUGCCUGUAAGACUGGGAUAACUCCGGGAAACCGGGGCUAAUACCGGAUGCUUGAUUGAACCGCAUGGUUCAAUCAUAAAAGGUGGCUUUUAGCUACCACUUACAGAUGGACCCGCGGCGCAUUAGCUAGUUGGUGAGGUAACGGCUCACCAAGGCGACGAUGCGUAGCCGACCUGAGAGGGUGAUCGGCCACACUGGGACUGAGACACGGCCCAGACUCCUACGGGAGGCAGCAGUAGGGAAUCUUCCGCAAUGGACGAAAGUCUGACGGAGCAACGCCGCGUGAGUGAUGAAGGUUUUCGGAUCGUAAAACUCUGUUGUUAGGGAAGAACAAGUACCGUUCGAAUAGGGCGGCACCUUGACGGUACCUAACCAGAAAGCCACGGCUAACUACGUGCCAGCAGCCGCGGUAAUACGUAGGUGGCAAGCGUUGUCCGGAAUUAUUGGGCGUAAAGCGCGCGCAGGCGGUUUCUUAAGUCUGAUGUGAAAGCCCCCGGCUCAACCGGGGAGGGUCAUUGGAAACUGGGGAACUUGAGUGCAGAAGAGGAGAGUGGAAUUCCACGUGUAGCGGUGAAAUGCGUAGAGAUGUGGAGGAACACCAGUGGCGAAGGCGACUCUCUGGUCUGUAACUGACGCUGAGGCGCGAAAGCGUGGGGAGCGAACAGGAUUAGAUACCCUGGUAGUCCACGCCGUAAACGAUGAGUGCUAAGUGUUAGAGGGUUUCCGCCCUUUAGUGCUGCAGCAAACGCAUUAAGCACUCCGCCUGGGGAGUACGGUCGCAAGACUGAAACUCAA
rnacentral:rRNA from 1 species